rnacentral:rRNA from 1 species
GAUGAACGCUAGCGGCAGGCUUAACACAUGCAAGUCGAGGGGUAUAUAGUUUUCGGAUUAUAGAGACCGGCAAACGGGUGCGGAACACGUACGCAAUCUGCCUCUGUCUUGGGGAUAGCCCAUAGAAAUGUGGAUUAAUACCCAAUAGUAUUAUAGAGUGGCAUCACUUAGUAAUUAAAAGAUUUAUUGGACAGAGAUGAGCGUGCGUCCCAUUAGCUAGUUGGUGCGGUAACGGCGUACCAAGGCGACGAUGGGUAGCUGGUGUGAGAGCACGACCAGCCACACGGGCACUGAGACACGGGCCCGACUCCUACGGGAGGCAGCAGUGAGGAAUAUUGGUCAAUGGGCGGAAGCCUGAACCAGCCAUGCCGCGUGAAGGAUGAAGGCGUUCUGCGUUGUAAACUUCUUUAUUUGGAAGAAAUUGUGGUUUCUACUGCAACCGACGGUACCAGAUGAAUAAGCACCGGCUAACUCCGUGCCAGCAGCCGCGGUAAU